AGUGAACGCUGGCGGUAGGCCUAACACAUGCAAGUCGAACGGCAGCACAGUAAGAGCUUGCUCUUACGGGUGGCGAGUGGCGGACGGGUGAGGAAAUACAUCGGAAUCUACUUUUUCGUGGGGGAUAACGUAGGGAAACUUACGCUAAUACCGCAUACGACCUACGGGUGAAAGCAGGGGAUCUUCGGACCUUGCGCGAUUGAAUGAGCCGAUGUCGGAUUAGCUAGUUGGCGGGGUAAAGGCCCACCAAGGCGACGAUCCGUAGCUGGUCUGAGAGGAUGAUCAGCCACACUGGAACUGAGACACGGUCCAGACUCCUACGGGAGGCAGCAGUGGGGAAUAUUGGACAAUGGGCGCAAGCCUGAUCCAGCCAUACCGCGUGGGUGAAGAAGGCCUUCGGGUUGUAAAGCCCUUUUGUUGGGAAAGAAAAGCAGCAGGUUAAUACCCCGCUGUUCUGACGGUACCCAAAGAAUAAGCACCGGCUAACUUCGUG
rnacentral:rRNA from 1 species